UUAGAUAUGAGGGCCCAUUAAAGCAGGGAGAACGGCCCAUACUUGGGAAAGCUAUGAAAAUCUGAUCCAAUUCUCUUACUCCCGCAUCGUUCAUACUCGGCUGUCGUGUAGUUGGGGUGGUGGCAGCUGUGAAUUUCCACUUCUAUGUAAGUUCAUCAGGAUCUUUGCUGAUUGAUUUGAUCUCAAGUUUUGAUGUAUUUGGGGAUUGAUGUGCGUCUUCGUGGAGCAAUGAUGGAUUUUUGGAAUCUUGUGAAAUUUAAUGUUGAUACGUGCCGGAUUUUGAUCUGGAAAUGAGCGGAAUUUUGAAUUUGUUCCAUGGAAAAGGUGAUGUGGCCUUGUGGAUAGCGAUUGUUUUCGGGGGGAGGUUGUUUAUGAUUGGAAGGACCGAGUUCAUAAUUAGUGAUUGUUUAAAAGCUGCGGCAAGUUUUUCAUCAGAUUCACCUGAUUUCAAACUCUUGCUAAAAUGUGCUGCAGGCUUCUUGAGACACGAAUUGGCUACUAUUCAACGUUUCUGCUGGUUUAACGCGUCCAGGCCGUGACUUUUGGUUCGACUUUUCAUUCAGGUGUAUUGGCUUAAAGCUUCCCUGUGAAGAAUUUGCCUGCUUUAUGUUCCACUUGUUGUAUAGCUAUACUACCAGAAUUUGUAUAUUCUCUUGUUAAGUGCAGCUGAAGAUCAGUGCUGUAUGUCUGUGCAAGUGUUCUAUUCUGAUUGAUUCUCUUAAAGUAUUAGAAUUUAACUAAAAAA